AAACUAACAAGGAUUCCCCUAGUAACGGCGAGUGAAGCGGGAAGAGCUCAAAUUUGAAAUCUGGUAGCCUUCGGCUGCCCGAGUUGUAAUCUAGAGAAGUGUUUUCCGUGCCGGCCCAUGUACAAGUCCCUUGGAACAGGGCGUCAUAGAGGGUGAGAAUCCCGUCCUUGACAUGGACCCCCGGUGCUUUGUGAUACACUUUCAACGAGUCGAGUUGUUUGGGAAUGCAGCUCAAAAUGGGUGGUGAAUUCCAUCUAAAGCUAAAUAUUGGCGAGAGACCGAUAGCGAACAAGUACCGUGAGGGAAAGAUGAAAAGCACUUUGGAAAGAGAGUUAAACAGUACGUGAAAUUGUUGAAAGGGAAACGAUUGAAGUCAGUCAUGCUCUUUGGAUUCAGCCGUUCUGCGGUGUAUUUCCAUUGAGUGGGGUCAACAUCAGUUUUGACCGCUGGAUAAAGGCACUAGGAAGGUAGCACUCUCGGGUGAACUUAUAGCCUAGCGUCAUAUACAGUGGUUGGGACUGAGGAACGCAGCAUGCCUUUAUGGCCGGGAUUC
rnacentral:rRNA from 1 species